rnacentral:piRNA from 2 species
ACAUCCUCACAGUUGGAUUCAUGAGUUUUG